rnacentral:rRNA from 1 species
UAAGAGGUCCAGCCUGCCCGGUGACAAAGUUUAACGGCCGCGGUACCCUAACCGUGCGAAGGUAGCAUAAUCACUUGUUCUUUAAAUAGGGACUAGUAUCAACGGCAUCACGAGGGUUACACUGUCUCCUUUCUCCAAUCAGUGAAACUGAUCUCCUCGUGAAGAAGCGAGGAUAAGAAUAUUAGACGAGAAGACCCCAUGGAGCUUUAAGCUAAACAACAACUCCAAUACAAGCAAUCCUUUAUAAACUACGAGCCCUGUUUGUUAGCUUUAGGUUGGGGUGACCGCGGAGUAUAAUAAAACCUCCACGACAAACGGGUUUCUAACCCUAAUCCAAGAGCCACAGCUCUAAGAAUCAUUAAUUUGAUGUUUAAUGAUCCGAUCUUCGAUCAACGGACCAAGUUACCCUGGGGAUAACAGCGCAAUCCAUUUCUAGAGCCCCUAU